AUUGAAGAGUACAAGCAUUAUCAGACACCAGGAGAAAGGUCCUGUGGGGUUCAUUAUGGAGGAUUUAGCAAAGGGUUGGGAGCCAGAAAUUCCUGAGUCCUAAUCCUGGAUUUGCCAUUGAUUCUUUGAAGUGACAUGGAAUUUGGCCUUUGAAACAUGAGGAUCACCUGCAGUCAACUGCAAGCCUUGUUCUUUUGCACUAACUCCAGCUUCACCCAGCACCUUGGGAACACAGUUCCUGGCCCAUACUGCAGUGGGCUCCCCUGUUGGCAGGAGCCCACCCGGGGAUUGGCCGUGGCGUGAUGAGACAGCACGACAGGGUCAGCAUUAACUUACUAUGCAUUACACAUUGCAUGGAGAUGAUGCUAUGGAGAGCAGCCUGGAUAGCCUGAUCCUUGUACAGCUCUCAUGGAAGAAAACUAUGCACACUGCUCACUUCCCCUAAGUCCAGGGAAGUUAACAUUUCCCUGUACUGGGCUGCUGAGCUGGGUUCUUCUGUGUUAUGCCAUACUUGAUUUACAGAAGCAAAGGGGACUAAAAGGGCCCUUGUUUGUUAGC